GAUUCUCGUCUGAAAAAAAACAGCUAACUUUCGAAAAGAAUUUGGAGGUUAAACAUUCAAUUGCAAUAUUGGAACAUCAGCAAACAAGAUAAAGCAUGAAACUGCUAAUAAUCAUAAUACUCGUAGCAUGUUUGCUGGCGACAAGCAGCUCAGCUCCUGGCCCUGAUGUCGGUGUCUAUAUGCAUGGCCCGCAUGACACAGAUGAUAAAGAAAACGACCUGAAAGCUGCACCAAUUCCACAGUAUUACCAUGCAAAGUUUGGGGCCGGAGGAAAACACUCAGGCUACUGAGACAGAACUGGAACACAAAAACCACUGGAAACCGGAAUAGCAAUUCUCAACGCACAAGGAAAUAACGCACUUGAAAUAACGAAAAACUUAAAACAAUGCACAAGGAAAAUUUUCCAGCGUUUAAAACUAUUUUUAUUUGAAAGUGAUAAAACUA